CACUCCUACGGGAGGCAGCAGUGGGGAAUUUUGGACAAUGGGCGAAAGCCUGAUCCAGCAAUGCCGCGUGUGUGAAGAAGGCCUUCGGGUUGUAAAGCACUUUUGUCCGGAAAGAAAUCCUUGGCUCUAAUACAGUCGGGGGAUGACGGUACCGGAAGAAUAAGCACCGGCUAACUACGUGCCAGCAGCCGCGGUAAUACGUAGGGUGCGAGCGUUAAUCGGAAUUACUGGGCGUAAAGCGUGCGCAGGCGGUUUGCUAAGACCGAUGUGAAAUCCCCGGGCUCAACCUGGGAACUGCAUUGGUGACUGGCAGGCUAGAGUAUGGCAGAGGGGGGUAGAAUUCCACGUGUAGCAGUGAAAUGCGUAGAGAUGUGGAGGAAUACCGAUGGCGAAGGCAGCCCCCUGGGCCAAUACUGACGCUCAUGCACGAAAGCGUGGGGAGCAAACAGGAUUAGAAACCCUAGUAGUCCC
rnacentral:rRNA from 1 species